rnacentral:rRNA from 1 species
AACACAUGUUUCAUCGGCCAAAGAUUUAUCGGUCAGGGAUGGGCCUGCGUCUGAUUAACUAGUUGGUGAGGUAACGGCCCACCAAGGUGACGAUCAGUAGCCGACCUGAGAGGGUGAUCGGCCACAUUGGAACUGAGACACGGUCCAAACUUCUACGGAAGGCAGCAGUAGGGAAUCUUGCACAAUGGGCGAAAGCCUGAUGCAGCAACGCCGCGUGAAGGAUGAAGGCCUUCGGGUUGUAAACCUCUGUUCUUAGGGAAGAAGAAAGUGACGGUACCUAAGGAGAAAGCCCCGGCUAACUACGUGCCAGCAGCCGCGGUAAUACGUAGGGGGCAAGCGUUAUCCGGAAUUAUUGGGCGUAAAGAGUGCGUAGGUGGUUAUCUAAGCGUAAGGUUUAAGCGUGCAGCUCAACUACAUCUCGCCUUGCGAACUGGACUACUUGAGUGCAGGAGGGGAAAGCGGAAUUCCUAGUGUAGCGGUGAAAUGCGUAGAUAUUAGGAGGAACACCAGCGGCGAAGGCGGCUUUCUGGACUGUAACUGACACUGAGGCACGAAAGCGUGGGGAGCAAACAGGAUCUGAUACCCUGGUAGUCCACGCCGUA